AUUGAACGCUGGCGGCAGGCCUAACACAUGCAAGUCGAACGAGUGGCGGACGGGUGAGUAAUGUCUGGGAAACUGCCUGAUGGAGGGGGAUAACUACUGGAAACGGUAGCUAAUACCGCAUACCAUCAGAUGUGCCCAGAUGGGAUGAGCUAGUUGGUGGGGUAACGGCUAACCAAGGCGACGAUCCCUAGCUGGUCUGAGAGGAUGACCAGCCACACUGGAGCUGAGACACGGUCCAGACUCCUACGGAGGGCAGCGGUGGGGAAUAUUGCACAAGGGGAGCAAGCCUGAUGCAGCCAUGCCGCGUGUAUGAAGAAGGCCUUCGGGUUGUAAAGUACUUUCAGCAGGGAGGCGUUACCCACAGAAGAAGCACCGGCUAACUCCGUGCCAGCAGCCGCGGUAAUAC
rnacentral:rRNA from 1 species